UGAAAAGGUAAGAGAAAGAACAGGAGGCCGCCAUUCCCAGACAGACGAUGGACGUGGCAGUCGGAACCAGCUUCUUAGCCUGAUGAGGGCCACCCCCUCAUUUUGAACUGCUUCAAAGGAAUCCAGCCCACCAGACCUCUGGGGGAAGGGGCGUCCUACGACCCUGGAGACUCUCCCACGGGAUCAGUGGGGAAACACCUGUCGGUCAACCAGGGGGAUUACUCCAAACUUCAGGUCCUGGGGUAGUAAAGAAGGCAGCUCCUGGAACUCCAGCCCUCCAGCAGGAAGAUGAGAAAGCCAAGAUAUGAAGAGCUGAAAGGGCCUGAGGCUGGACUCUGAGGUGACCUGUUUGACUCCAUUCAUUACAAGCUGCUACCUCAUCUCCAAAGUUGGCAGAUGCUGUCCUUGCCUUGCAGGAGUCAUCACAUACACACUCUAGAGGGUCUUACACAUGUGGAUACCAACAACCUCCUUGGCCGUAGACAGAGGAAGAGAAGACAAAGAGAGAGAAAAAGAGGAUAGAAAUCAAAGCACUGCUCCAUCGUCUAUGGAGCUACCUGGGUGCCACCCAUGGUGUUUGCUCAUGGUACUGGGAUUGAAAGCAGGGCUCCAAGCACAUGCAGUAAGGAAUACCAAAGGAGACCACCUGGGACUGAAACAAGACAGGACUAGAAUGACUCCAGGAACCCACCAAAUCACCGCCACCAGGUUCCAGAUGCCAGCAUGAUGCCAACCAGAAUUCCCUGGUCUGAAGACCCCACCAAUAUGUCCUGGAGCUCCACUUCCCCAGAGACCCACCCUACUAGGGAAAGAAAGAGGCAGACCUUGAGUAUGGAUCCACCAGUCAAUUACACAAUUGGGAAACAAUUACACAAGCCAGACCUUCCACCUUCUGCAACCCACAACAACCCUGGGUAUAUACUCCCAAGGGAUAGAGAAUGGGAAAGCUAUCAGCCCAUCUUGAAUGAAGCCUGAAGAAAUCAUGUUAAGUGAAAUAAGUCAGAAACAGAAGGAUAAAUAUGGUAUGAUCUCAUUCACAGGCAGAAGUUGAAAAACAAGAUCAGAAGAGGGAACACAAGUAGAACCUGAACUGGAGUUCGUGUAUUGCACCAAAGUAAAAGACUCUGGGUGGUGGUGGUACAGGUCCUGGAAAAGGAUGACAGAGGACCUAGUGGGGGUUGUAUUGUUAUGUGGAAAACUGAGAAAUGUUAUGCAUGUACAAACUAUUGUAUUUACUUUCAACUGUAAAAAAAUAAUCCCUCAAUAAAGAAAUUUU